GAAUAGCUCUUUAUUUCACCCGAAGUAAGAAAAGUAGAGUAGGCUCUGUUGGGGUGCUCCUGGGGCCCUUUGCGGCUUCUGGCUCUGGGUGCUGUUUCAUGGGCUUCUAAAGAGGUCUUCUGAGGUCUUCAUGACCUCAGAUGUCACAGAACCGACUUCUACUCCCUGGCCACACUCUGCCAUCUCCACCAUGGCCUCCAGGUCGGUCUCUUCCACCCUCUUGGGCACCGUGUCCACGUUGCCACCAUGCAGUGAGGCCGCCCCCUUCAUGCCAAGGGCAGCUGCAGGAGGUAAAUGAGGCGCUCCCAGCAGGUGAAGAGGUCUUCCCUCGCAUCCAGGGGGGCGCACAGCUGCAGGUAGAAAGAGCGGCCCGUGGCGAACUUCAGGCGAAGCUGUUGUUUCUCGCGGUCGUGAACGGAGAUCCAAACAAACUUCAAGGGGAGGAGCCUGGUGAGCUCCAAAUUCGAAAGAUUCACCAACUGGCCAGGGACAUUAGCACAUUUCUGUAAUCCCAGUACUCUGGGAGGCUGAGGCAGGAGGAUCACAAGUUUGAGCCCGGACUGGACAACUUAGUGACUUAGCAAGACCUUGUCUCAAAAAGUCACGUUUUUAAAAAAGGCCAAUAUGUAGCUCAGUGUAAAGUCUGGGGUUCAAUCCUUAGAACGAAACAAAAAGAUUCAACAACUACACAAAGUAUAAAAAUGUAAGACGAUGGGGUAGAUUUUAACCAUCAUGGUUUAAUUUUAUGAGAUAACCUAGAAUUGGUGGUCUUGCUCCUUAGCCUACCAUGGAUCUCAGUAAAUCUAGAUGAUUGUGAGCUUUAACAAUAAUUCUGACCUUCAAUAAUUAAUAUUUAAAUUCAUAAUUAAGGGUUGCUUUUCCCAGGCACUGUACUGUGUGGUUUGCAUGCUAUUGUGAGAACCUACUGAGUUUGAUACUGUUCUUACCGUUCUCAUUUUACAGGUAAACAAACUGAGGUUGUAUCAUUUACCCGCAUUCACAAAUUAAUGCUAUUUUGCAAAUCCAGGUCCAGCUGAUCCAAGACCUCUGUUCUAGACUGCUGGAGUACUCUGUCUUCCAGGGAGCUUGGGCCUGUUAAAUGUGUUCAAAGAGGAUUGAUUUGAUUGCUGAAAGAGAGCAGUUUGGUGCAUUAUGAGAAGUUGCAUAACAAAUCGUGUGUGUGUUUGUGUGUGUGUGUGUGUGUGUGUGUGUGUGUGUGUGU
rnacentral:lncRNA from 1 species